AGGACGAACGCUGGCGGCGUGCUUCACACAUGCAAGUCGAACGGGGCUCAUUCGGUGGUAACACCGGAGAAGGCCUAGUGGCGAACGGGUGCGUAACACGUGAAGAACCUGCCCCGAAGACUGGGAUAACAGCGGGAAACCGCUGCUAAUACCGGAUGACCCCACCAGGCCGCAUGGCCAGGUGAGGAAAUGGGCCUACCGCUUCGGGAGGGCUUCGCGGCCUAUCAGCUUGUUGGUGGGGUAACGGCCUACCAAGGCUACGACGGGUAGCUGGUCUGAGAGGACGACCAGCCACACUGGGGACUGAGACACGGCCCAGACUCCUACGGGAGGCAGCAGUGGGGAAUCUUGCGCAAUGGGCGAAAGCCUGACGCAGCAACGCCGCGUGAGGGAUGAAGGUCUUCGGGUUGUAAACCUCUUUCGAGCAGGGACGAUUGUGACGGUACCUGCAGAAGAAGCUCCGGCCAACUACGUGCCAGCAGCCGCGGU
rnacentral:rRNA from 1 species